rnacentral:misc_RNA from 1 species
GAUGAAGAACGCAGCGAAAUGCGAUAAGUAGUGUGAAUUGCAGAAUUCAGUGAAUCAUCGAAUCUUUGAACGCACAUUGCGCCCCUUGGUAUUCCAUGGGGCAUGCCUGUUCGAGCGUCAUUUGUACCUUCAAGCUCUGCUUGGUGUUGGGUGUUUGUCUCGCCUCUGCGUGUAGACUCGCCUCAAAACAAUUGGCAGCCGGCGUAUUGAUUUCGGAGCGCAGUACAUCUCGCGCUUUGCACUCAUAACGACGACGUCCACAAGUACAUUUUUACACUCUUGACCUCGGAUCAGGUAGGGAUACCCGCUGAACUUAAGCAUAUCAAUAAGCGGAGGA